GACGAACGCUGGCGGCGUGCUUAACACAUGCCAGUCGAACGGAAAGGCCCUGCUUGCAGGGUGCUCGAGUGGCGAACGGGUGAGUAACACGUGGGUGAUCUGCCCCUUACUUUGGGAUAAGCCUGGGAAACUGGGUCUAAUACUGGAUAGGACCAUGCUGUAGGUGGUGUGGUGGAAAGAUUAGUUUCGGUAAGGGAUGAGCUCGCGGCCUAUCAGCUUGUUGGUGGGGUAAUGGCCUACCAAGGCGUCGACGGGUAGCCGGCCUGAGAGGGUGGACGGCCACAUUGGGACUGAGAUACGGACCAGACGCCUACGGGAGGCAGCAGUGGGGAAUAUUGCAAAAUGGGAGCAAGCCUGAUGCAGCGACGCAGCGUGGGGGAUGACGGCCUUCGGGUUGUAAACUCCUUUCAGCCAUGACGAAGCCCUUGUGGUGACGGUAGUGGUAGAAGAAGCACCGGCUAACUACGUG
rnacentral:rRNA from 1 species